AGGGUAGGUUUUCAUUCAAAGAAGCUAGCUCUCACAAAUAUUUCAAAGCGCCUACUUAAUAAUCGUUUCUCCAGCUUCACCCCAGCGAAAGUUCAGCAAGUACUGAGGACUAAGGGAGAUGCCGUGAGGAGAAACCUAUUGAGGCUGUGUGUCCUCAAGGAGGAUGUCUGUUAAUGAAAGAGGCGGGAUUUAACAUACCCGGAAAGGCAGCCAACAAGGCUGGCUGGCUUGUAUUUUGUAAAAGAAUCAAGUCCCAAACUAUGCAUGGUGUUGGAUUGUUUUUUUAUUUACAUUCAUUAAAAAAUACUAUUGUGCUGUU